CAUAAAAUUUAAAUAGCAUAAACAGUUUUGUACUAGCAGACAAUGUAAGUUGAUCAAAUAUUAUUUUAAUUAAAAAAAUUAUUAAAAUGUAUAUUUUUUUUUUUAUUGUUUAUGUAAUUUUACAAGUAAAUAAAAACUAAUAAUGGUGAUAAUAAUAAUGAUAAUAUUAGUAGUAUAUAAAGAUAUAUACAGUCUAUAUACUUAUGUAUAUAUACAUUUACGUACAUACUUACUUGCUCAUUUAUAUGGCCACUUGUCCACAUACUAAAAAGGGUUUUUGCUUAUUCAUUCACUUUUUAUUUAUUUAUUUAUUCAUUUUUUUUUUGGUACUUUUUUUGUUAAUAGAAAAAAAAUGCCAACGAUUAUCCAAACAAAGAUAAGAAAAAAGAAAAUAAACGGAAAACAAGUGAUGAUGGGUAUGCAAAAAAUAAAGAAUUUAGUCGAUAUAAACCAAAACAAGAUUUUGAUUAUAAGUUUAAAGAAGAAACUGAGGAUGAUGAUAGUGGAGUAGAAACUGAUAGUAGUGAUAAUAGUAGUUACUUAAAUGAAUUCCGCAAUAGUAAUAAGAGAAAAAAAGAAACAAUGAACAAUAAAAGAAGAAGUGUUUCUUUAGUAUAUACCUAUAAAAAAGAUAUUAUAAAUAAUAUAAAAUUAGCUAACAAAAUUUAUAAACUGACAGCUGACGAUAAAAGUAAUGAUGAUUCGUCAGAUAAUGGUUAUAAAAAUGAAAAGAAAAAUGAUUGGAGAAAUAAAAAUAAGAAAAAUAGAAGGAGUAUAAGCUGUGGUAACUGUGACUCAGACUCUGAUAGUAUAAACACAAAAAAUAAAAAAGUAGAUAUAAAUAUAAACGAAGUUCAAACUAGAUACAAAAAUAAAAAUAUUAAAAUUAUAUAUGAUGGUGAACAAGCAAAACAAAUUAUUGUUAGGAAAAAAAAGAAAAAAGACAGUAAUCAAAAUAAGGAAGAAGAAAAGAGUCGAACAAAAUAUGAAGAUCGGCUGCAGUUGAGUGACAUCGAUAGUAGUUGUGAUAGCUAUGAUACUUAUGAGGAAGAAUCAGGAAAAGGUGGUAGUAAUAGUAGUAAUUUUAGUAGUAAUAAUAGUAGUAGUAGUAGUAAUGGUGACAGCGACUAUAGAAAUAAUGAAAACUACAGCCAAUACAAUAAGAAUGAUGGAAGUUAUUAUAAAAAAAAAAUAACCAAACAAAAAGAGACAAAUGAUAAGAGAAAAGGAAUUAAGUAUAAAAAUUUAAAAAGUAAAAAACAAAACAAAACAAAAAUAAGACUAGAAAAAACGAAAAAAAGUAUUAAAAGCAAGUCUAACACGUUGAGUGAUAGUUAUUGUGAAAAGACACGAAAUAUAAAUUAUAAAAAAAUGAAACGAACAUAUUCGAGUGACAAGCAAAUUGGUAAAAAAGCCAGUCGAUAUCGUAGCGAAUCUUGGUAUCAGUUUGAAAAUGAAGAUAGAGAAAGAGAGCGGGUGAUAGAAAGGGAAUUGUUGAUGAAGAAAAGGGAAGAGUGGAAAAGGGAGAGGGAAAGAAAAAAAGAAAUAGAAAGGGAAGAGUGGGAAAGAAAAAAAAAAGAAAAAAAAGAAAGAGAAAGAGAAAGAGAAAGAGAAGAAUGGGAAGAAUGGGAAAAAGAAAAAAAAGAGAGAGAAAGGGAAAAUGAAGAGUGGGAAAGAGAAAAAAAAGAAAAAAAAGAGAGAGAGAGAGAAAGAGAAAGAGAA
rnacentral:lncRNA from 1 species